AUUGAACGCUGGCGGCAUGCUUUACACAUGCAAGUCGAACGGUAACAGGCCUUCGGGUGCUGACGAGUGGCGAACGGGUGAGUAAUGCAUCGGAACGUGCCCAGAGGUGGGGGAUAACGCAGCGAAAGCUGUGCUAAUACCGCAUGUGAUCUGAGGAUGAAAGCGAGGGACCAAGCAGCAAUGUUUGGCCUCGCGCCUCUGGAGCGGCCGAUGUCAGAUUAGGUAGUUGGUGGGGUAAAGGCCUACCAAGCCGACGAUCUGUAGCUGGUCUGAGAGGACGACCAGCCACACUGGGACUGAGACACGGCCCAGACUCCUACGGGAGGCAGCAGUGGGGAAUUUUGGACAAUGGGCGCAAGCCUGAUCCAGCAAUGCCGCGUGCGGGAAGAAGGCCUUCGGGUUGUAAACCGCUUUUGUACGGAACGAAAAGGCUCUGGCUAAUACCUGGGGCUGAUGACGGUACCGUAAGAAUAAGCACCGGCUAACUACGUG
rnacentral:rRNA from 1 species